rnacentral:rRNA from 1 species
GCUCAGGAUGAACGCUGGCGGCGUGCCUAAUACAUGCAAGUCGAGCGAACGGACGAGAAGCUUGCUUCUCUGAUGUUAGCGGCGGACGGGUGAGUAACACGUGGAUAACCUACCUAUAAGACUGGGAUAACUUCGGGAAACCGGAGCUAAUACCGGAUAAUAUUUUGAACCGCAUGGUUCAAAAGUGAAAGACGGUCUUGCUGUCACUUAUAGAUGGAUCCGCGUUGCAUUAGCUAGUUGGUAAGGUAACGGCUUACCAAGGCAACGAUGCAUAGCCGACCUGAGAGGGUGAUCGGCCACACUGGAACUGAGACACGGUCCAGACUCCUACGGGAGGCAGCAGUAGGGAAUCUUCCGCAAUGGGCGAAAGCCUGACGGAGCAACGCCGCGUGAGUGAUGAAGGUCUUCGGAUCGUAAAACUCUGUUAUUAGGGAAGAACAUAUGUGUAAGUAACUGUGCACAUCUUGACGGUACCUAAUCAGAAAGCCACGGCUAACUACGUGCCAGCAGCCGCGGUAAUACGUAGGUGGCAAGCGUUAUCCGGAAUUAUUGGGCGUAAAGCGCGCGUAGGCGGUUUUUUAAGUCUGAUGUGAAAGCCCACGGCUCAACCGUGGAGGGUCAUUGGAAACUGGAAAACUUGAGUGCAGAAGAGGAAAGUGGAAUUCCAUGUGUAGCGGUGAAAUGCGCAGAGAUAUGGAGGAACACCAGUGGCGAAGGCGACUUUCUGGUC